rnacentral:lncRNA from 1 species
CUUUUUCUUAUUUUUGACAAUAUGACGAUCGUGUGAAAUAUCAAAAUUGUUCAUGACAUUAUUUGAGCAAGACGAACCUUUGCAUUCUAAUGGAUCUUCUAAGAUGGAGUUAGGAGUAAUUUGGCUUUCUUCAUCGAUCAAAUUAGAGGUGUCCUAAUUACUCAUAUUAUUGUGUCGGUUCGUAUCUCCACUAGACUGAGCGCAUAUAUGUUUCAUUUUCUUUGCUGUCAC